GAUCUCUUUGAGGCCCGUUAUCGGAAUGAGAACAAUUCAAAUCCUUUAACGAGGAUCUAGCGGAGGGCAAGUCUGGUGCCAGCAGCCGCGGUAAUUCCAGCUCCGCAGGUGUAUAUCUAUGCUGCUGCGGUUAAAAAGCUCGUAGUUGGAUCUGCGUGCUCGGAACUGGUUGGCUCACUGAGUUCAAACUGGUCUCCGGCGCUUUAUUGGCUGGUUUUCCCUUGAUGCUCUUAACCGGGUGUCUUGGGUGGCUAGCACGUUUACUUUGAAAAAAUUAGAGUGCUCAAUACAGGCGUAAAGCCUUGAAUAGUGGUGCAUGGAAUAAUAGAAUAGGACCUCGGCUCUAUUUUGUUGGUUUUCGGAACGCGAGGUAAUGAUUAAGAGGGACAGACGGGGGCAUUCGUAUUGCGACGUUAGAGGUGAAAUUCUUGGAUCGUCGCAAGACGGACGACUGCGAAAGCAUUUGCCAAGAAUGUUUUCAUUAGUCAAGAACGAAAGUUAGAGGUUCGAAGGCGAUCAGAUACCGCCCUAGUUCUAACCGUAAACGAUGCCAACUAGCGAUUCGCAGGCGUUAAACAACGACCUUGCGGGCAGCUUCCCGGAAACGAAAGUGUUCGGGUUCCGGGGGAAGUAUGGUUGCAAAGCUGAAACUUAAAGGAAUUGACGGAAGGGCACCACCAGGAGUGGAGCCUGCGGCUUAAUUUGACCCAACACGGGAAAACUCACCCGGCCCGGACACCGUAAGGAUUGACAGAUUGAGAGCUCUUUCUUGAUUCGGUGGGUGGUGGUGCAUGGCCGUUCUUAGUUGGUGGAGCGAUUUGUCUGGUUUAUUCCGAUAACGAACGAGACUCUGGCCUACUAAAUAGUGGGCGGAUUCUUUCUGUCCGCAACACUUCUUAGAGGGACAAGCGGUGUUCAGCCGCACGAGAUUGAGCAAUAACAGGUCUGUGAUGCCCUUAGAUGUCCGGGGCUGCACGCGCGCUACACUGAAGGAAUCAGCGUGCUUUCUGACCUUGCCCGAAAGGGCUGGGUAACCCGAUGAAAAUCCUUCGUGAUUGGGAUAGGGACUUGCAAUUAUUUCCCUUGAACGAGGAAUUCCCAGUAAGUGUGGGUCAUAAGCUCGCGUUGAUUACGUCCCUGCCCUUUGUACACACCGCCCGUCGCUGCCCGGAACUGAGCCGUUUCGAGAAGAACAGGGACCGUCGUUGAAGGGCCUUAACGGGCUUUUCUCUGAUAGAAACUGUU
rnacentral:rRNA from 1 species